rnacentral:rRNA from 1 species
CCCAUUCCAGCAUCAGCAGAGGCGCCAUCCGUUGCCAUCCCGGACCGCUCAGGGGAUUUCCUCGACUCGCCCGAGUUCAUCGUCGUUGUCGGCUUCGGAACGCCGGCUCAGCCAUCUUCCGUGAUGUUUGACACCGGCAGUGACAUGUCAUGGAUCCAGUGCAAGCCGUGCUCCGGCUACUGCCAUCCGCAGCACGACCCCAUCUUCGACCCCACCAAAUCCACCACCUACGCCGCCGUGCAAUGCGGCCAACCAUUGUGCUCACGCACCGGCAGCAAGUGCAACGACACCACCUGCCUAUACUCCAUGGAUUAUGUCGACGGCUCGUCCGAAUGGAGCACAUCCGGCGUCCUCUCCCAGGACACGUUGACGCUCACUUCCUCAACCAAGCUCUCCGGCGUCCCGUUCGGAUGCGGCCAGCGAAACGUGGGCAAGUUCGGCUACGUCGACGGGCUGCUCGGCCUUGGCCGUGGCCAACUCUCACUGUCUUCACAAGCAGGUCAUUCGUUCGGCAGCACCUUCUCCUACUGUCUCCCGUCCGACAACAGCACGGCCGGGUACCUCAGCAUCGGCUCGACGCCGGUCUCCGGCCAAGUCCAGUACACGGCGAUGAUACAAAAGUCCAGCUACCCAUCAUUGUACUUCGUCGAGCUCGUCUCCAUCAACAUCGGUGGUUACAUCCUCCCGGUGCCACCCUCAAUAUUCACGAGCACCGGCACCAUCUUGGACUCCGGCACGAUCCUUACGCAUCUACCGGGGCAGGCAUACACCGCGCUUCGCGACCGGUUCAAGUUCACCAUGCAGGGGAGCAAAACAGCGCCGCCGCAAGAAAACCUCGACACGUGCUAUGACUUUGGCGGCCAGAGUGGAAUCUUAAUACCGGCGGUAUCACUCAUAUUCAGUGAUGGCGCGGUUUUUGACCUCAACUUCUACGGGAUCUUGACAUUUCCACAGCCGACCAUCGGCUGCCUCGCGUUCAUGCCGCGGCCAGCGUCGACGCCGUUCUCCAUCAUCGGCAAUACGCAACAGCGGUCGACCGAGGUGAUAUACAACGUUGCUGCGGAGAAGAUCGGUUUUGUCCCCAACAGUUGCUGA